rnacentral:rRNA from 1 species
ACGGGAGGCAGCAGUGGGGAAUAUUGCACAAUGGGGGAAACCCUGAUGCAGCGACGCCGCGUGAGUGAAGAAGUAUUUCGGUAUGUAAAGCUCUAUCAGCAGGAAAGAAAAUGACGGUACCUGACUAAGAAGCCCCGGCUAACUACGUGCCAGCAGCCGCGGUAAUACGUAGGGGGCAAGCGUUAUCCGGAUUUACUGGGUGUAAAGGGAGCGUAGACGGUAAGGCAAGUCUGAAGUGAAAUGCCAGGGCUCAACCCUGGAACUGCUUUGGAAACUGUCCUACUAGAGUGCUGGAGAGGUAAGUGGAAUUCCUAGUGUAGCGGUGAAAUGCGUAGAUAUUAGGAGGAACACCAGUGGCGAAGGCGGCUUACUGGACUGUAACUGACGUUGAGGCUCGAAAGCGUGGGGAGCAAACAGGAUUAGAUACCCUGGUA